rnacentral:rRNA from 1 species
AGCAGCCGCGGUAAUUCCAGCUCCAAUAGCGUAUAUUAAAGUUGUUGCAGUUAAAAAGCUCGUAGUUGAAUUUCGGGAUCAGUAUGUCGGUCGUGCCUCCGGUAUGUACUGGCGUCACUGGUUCCUCCCUUCUGACGAACCAUCAUGCUAUUAAUUUAGUGUGGUGGGAAAUCAGGACUGUUACUUUGAAAAAUUAGAGUGUUUAAAGCAGGCUCACGCUUGAAUACAUUAGCAUGGAAUAAUGAAAUAGGACGUUGAUCCUAUUUUGUUGGUUUCUAGGAUUGACGUAAUGAUUAAUAGGGAUAGUUGGGGCAUUAGUAUUCAAUUGUCAGAGGUGAAAUUCUUGGAUUUAUUGAAGACUAACUACUG